GACGAACGCUGGCGGCGUGCUUAACACAUGCAAGUCGAACGGAGUGGCGAACGGGUGAGUAACACGUGGGUGACCUGCCCUGCACUUCGGGAUAAGCCUGGGAAACUGGGUCUAAUACCGGAUAGUGUGGGAUGGGGCCGCGGCCUAUCAGCUUGUUGGUGGGGUAAUGGCCUACCAAGGCGGCGACGGGUAGCCGGCCUGCGAGUGUGGACGGCCACAUUGGGACAGAGACGCGGCCCAGGGUCCUACGGGAGGCAGCGGUGGGGAAUAUUGCGCACUAGGCGGAGGCCUGAUGCAGCGACGCCGCGUGGGAGAUGUCGGCCUUCGGGUUGUAAACGCCUUUCACCAUCGACGCGGUAGAUGGAGAAGAAGCACCGGCUAACUACGUGCCAGCAGCCGCGGUAAUAC
rnacentral:rRNA from 1 species